UCAGAUUCUCCCACGAGCCCCUUGAGGUCGACGAAGCCAUGAUUAUAAAUUCCUCCUGUCACAAAUGAGGAAGCCAAGGCUUAGAGAGAUUGCACGGCACAGCUGAGACUGAAUUUCAAAUGUCUUGAUUCUCUGCAGAGUGACCUGUCCCCAUUCCAAUCUGGUCAUUUGGCAGAACUCUUGUUGCUGCGGGAGAAGAGUCCAAACAAAACAGAGGAUGGAUCCUGUCCACAUGCCCUUGACAUGUUCUGGGACAUGAUUCCUAACACUCUCAUGUUAUGAAUUUCCUGAGGACUCUUCUGUGAUGACCUCUGUGUGCUUAACCAAUAUCGUAAGCAUCAAUUGUUUUGGAAUAAAACAAAAUAAAAUCAACCACAUAAAAAAACUUUUAUCAGAAAGCAUUUGGUACAGAGUUUGCUGGAAAAUUCCUCAUGUUUCAUGUCUCCUUUUUUUGAUCCCAUUUUUGAUUGACAGUGGAUGGAGGUGGUCAAUAUACCAGAGCGCCAUGAAGUGACAAAGAGCAUUUCUUGAAGAAACCUCAGCAGAGUGAUGGGUGAUCAUUUGGUUCGAUAACACCAAAGGCUGGAUGAAUUUACCCAGAGAGGACCGUAAUGAAAAUCUGAAAUAACCUUUAUAAUUUUCAAGUGAGGAAAUGAAGGCCAAACAUGAGAGGCUACAAUAAGAGUAUACUGGGCAUUGUGCCAAGAACAGGGGAUAUAAUGAUGAACAAGAAAAAGAUACAAACAAAUAAGGGAUGAUCUGUGCUACUUUGAGGAAAAACUCAAAGCGACCAGGAAAGAAAGAAAGAUGAUGGAUCCGGGAGCAUGGUAUUUUAAGAACACAAGCAAUUCCUUCUGUGUAUCACUGCCAUGAUGCUGGAAACACUGCAUCGCCAGUAACCAGCAGAGAGCCUGGGACAUAGCAGGCAUGUGAUCAUGUCGAAUAACAACACUCACGAAUAAAUGAAAGGCACUUUUAGAACAAUAGGAUGUUGAAUUUAUGGUGUCAUAAAAUAAAUCAGUUCCACAUUUUG